UAGUCCACGCUGUAAACGAUGAGUGCUAGAUGUUGGACCUUUAAGGUUCAGUAUCGUAGCUAACGCAUUAAGCACUCCGCCUGGGGAGUACGAUCGCAAGAUUAAAACUCAAAGGAAUUGACGGGGACCCGCACAAGCAGUGGAGCAUGUGGUUUAAUUCGAAGCAACGCGCAGAACCUUACCAGGCCUUGACAUCCUGAUCGCGAUUUUCAGAGACGAAUUUCUUCAGUUCGGCUGGAUCAGUGACAGGUGCUGCAUGGCUGUCGUCAGCUCGUGUCGUGAGAUGUUGGGUUAAGUCCCGCAACGAGCGCAACCCUCAUUCUUAUUUGCCAGCGAGUAAUGUCGGGAACUAUAAGAAACUGCCGGUGAUAAGCCGGAGGAAGGCGAGGAUGACGUCAAGUCCUUAUGGCCCUUAUGGCCUGGGCUACACACGUGCUACAAUGGGAACUACAAAGAGUCGCUAACCCGUGAGGUGUGCUAAUCUCUAAAGUUCU
rnacentral:rRNA from 1 species